rnacentral:rRNA from 1 species
GACGAACGCUGGCGGCGUGCUUAACACAUGCAAGUCGAGCGGAAAGGCCCUGCUUUUGUGGGGUGCUCGAGUGGCGAACGGGUGAGUAACACGUGAGUAACCUGCCCUUGACUUUGGGAUAACUUCAGGAAACUGGGGCUAAUACCGGAUAGGAGCUCCUGCUGCAUGGUGGGGGUUGGAAAGUUUCGGCGGUUGGGGAUGGACUCGCGGCUUAUCAGCUUGUUGGUGGGGUAGUGGCUUACCGAGGCUUUGACGGGUAGCCGGCCUGAGAGGGUGACCGGCCACAUUGGGACUGAGAUACGGCCCAGACUCCUACGGGAGGCAGCAGUGGGGAAUAUUGCACAAUGGGCGGAAGCCUGAUGCAGCAACGCCGCGUGCGGGAUGACGGCCUUCGGGUUGUAAACCGCUUUCGCCUGUGACGAAGCGUGAGUGACGGUAAUGGGUAAAGAAGCACCGGCUAACUACGUG